rnacentral:rRNA from 1 species
UACGGGGGGGGCAAGCGUUGUUCGGAAUUACUGGGCGUAAAGGGCGCGUAGGCGGCGUUGUAAGUCACUUGUGAAAUCUCUGAGCUUAACUCAGAACGGCCAAGUGAUACUGCUGUGCUAGAGUGCAGAAGGGGCAAUCGGAAUUCUUGGUGUAGCGGUGAAAUGCGUAGAUAUCAAGAGGAACACCUGAGGUGAAGACGGGUUGCUGGGCUGACACUGACGCUGAGGCGCGAAAGCCAGGGGAGCAAACGGG